rnacentral:lncRNA from 1 species
CCCUUGCUUCUUCCACUAGAGUUACUAUUAACUCUUCUUGUUCCGUAUCUUCCUCUUCCAUUUCUUAGAUAAUCUGCUCCACGUCGGGAGCUUCCUCUUGAUUAUCCACUGCAUCUAGGAGCUCGAUGUCAUGCUGGUGCAAAUUUAGAUCAUCGUCAUCUGAUGUGUCGGCAAAGUUUAUCCUUGGAUGAUAGCCAGUAGGAUCCUCCAUUGGAUCUUCACUAGGAUCACUUUCCGAAUCACCUGCAGGUGUGUAGUCUGGUUCAAUCACCACUUCGUUAAUGUCUCUCCAUUCCGGUUCUCUGGCUAGCCAUUUCUACAAAAGAGUGUAGCUUUAAUUUAGUAUAUUUCUUUCACAUAAUAUUUUUAUGUUUUAUGAAUUUUAAGAUUUAUUUGUAUCUUUUAAUUAUCUAUGAACUUUCUUCAAGUUCAUUGAUUCCUACUUCCUCUGAUCAUAUCCUAAGGUAUUCGUUACCUUAAGAGUUAUAAUCUACAACUUUGAUACCAACCUGUGACGCCCCAAAUCCCUGUACUUGCUAGAGCGAAUCUGGUGAUCACUUUACUUAUUUUAACCUUAAGUUUUAGACAUUCUAUACUUCUAUAUAUCCAAGGUUCAGAGCAUUAAUAAUAGGAUUCUUCUUGGAACAGAAGAAUCUUGCGAAAAAUUAGGCUCUUUAUCCGUGGCAAGAUUCCUUUUCUUAUAGAACUCCCCAUAUUAUUCAAUAUCCUAACUUAGGUACAUGUCUUUAUAGAGAUACCUCUUCAUAUUGAUAUUUAUUCUAUACCUGAAGUUCACAAUAUUAAUAACAAGCUUGUUCUUGGAACAGAGGAACCUUGCGUUAAAGAUUUGUAUUUGUCGGUGCUAAAUCUCUGUGCUUACAGAACUCACAAUGUUAUUCAAUAUUCUCAUUCAGAUGUAUAGUUCUGUAUCAAUAUUGUAUUAAUGUUUCAAAAUUCUAAAUUCUGUGAAAGUAACUACACAACAUUUGAUGAUAAUAACAUGAUAUUAUUGAUAUAAGAUUCGGUUACAUGAUUUGCUUGUUUGUAUUACAAAAUUCAUUAUGACUACAACAAAAUGACAAGCGAUUAUAUAAUACAUGUAAACUAGUCUGCGCAUUUCUUCUUUCUCUUCUUCUUAGAGCCAGAGCUCUCGGGUUUAUCCUCUUUAGCUGCAAAUGGGGAUUUAUUUGCAAGAGUGAGCAAAGUUGCUCAACAAGUCUAAACACAUAGCAUAUAAGUGAACUCACACCGAUAGAGAAUUUAAAAGCUUUAUAGCUCAAUAAAAGAUAUAACAAUUGUUUUAACAUAGUAAAGUUGAGUGGUAAUUAAACCAAGAACUAAUGUUCGUUCGUCUUUCGACUUAGAACCAUACAAUGGAUAUCUAUAGGGGAUCAACCUAACGACAUCCUUUGUUAUGCAUAACAUACACUACACUGAACUACUCAUGAACAAUGUUUAAAUCAGGUACCCGACACAUCAUAUUUAUCCCUAUGAAUUAGGGGGGUUCAUCUCAGUUUACUUUACAUGCAGAGGUUGCCCAAAAACAAUUUGGUUUGACUAAAUAGCUCAUAUAAAGAAUUAUAGCAAUUCAGUACUUCACGAAUAAACGUUCAUUUCUUAAGUUAUGCCAAAACUAGUAGCAAUAACUUCAUUCAAGAAUUUAUAACACGUUGCACAAAGUGCAUAAAUAUCAUAUAAAACUGGCAAUAUAAAUUUGGGUAGAAGACUUGCCUCGAUGCGUAUUUAUAGUUAAACAAUAAGCUUAACUUGUUUUGUAAAUAGGGGUGUAUGCCGAGCAGAGUAGCUCGGUACUCGACUCUAGAUCGGAUCGAAAAUAUGAUCCAAAACUCAAAUUCGAAAUUGAUUCGAGUCUAAUCUGAUCCAUACUCGUUUUCUGUUUAAUGAUACACGAGUCGAAUUCGAGUAUACCAGUGUUCGCUCAGAUUAGGGUUCGAGUAUUUCAUUUUUUCUUGAACCAUACUCGAAUCUACAAGAUGGAUCAUGUUCGAAUAUUGGUCUGAUCAAUACUAACAAGCUAAAUAUGUUAUAUUUGUAUUAAUCUUUAUAAUUUAUAAAGUGUAGUAUUAAAUUUUGUAAACUUGUACAGUUGUACUUGAAUAAAUCAAUAAAUUGAUUGUCAAUUUGUAUUACAUUUUUUUUUAAUUUCUUUACAUAAAUAAAAAUAAAAAACUUUAUAUAUAAAUAUUAGUUCAAUAAUCAAUUUAGUAUGUAGUGGUUCAGUAUUAAAUGAAAUGGUUCAUAUUCUAAAUUCGAUUUGAAGGCUCACGAGUAACUCGUUUUGUAAACGAGCCGAGUAGGUCCGAGUAAUUAUCCGAGUCGAAUCUGGUGCAAAAUUAGAAAUUUCUAAUCGAAUCUGAGUCGAAUUCGAGCUCAUUUUUUUCAAGCCAAGCCGAAUCUGAGCAUUAGGAUGUUCGCUUAGAUUCAACUCGUUUACACCCUUAUUUGUAAAUCCUACACAAUUUUAAGUGUAUACGGGUAUUAGUUUAUUGUCUAAUUAAACUUUAUAAGUCAUAUAUAUGACUAUUUUCAUAGGUGGUGUAAGCCCCAAAACAAUUUGGUUCAUAAUUUCUUGUUUUAACUAAGUAAAACAUGAUCUCAAAAGCAUUGCAAAGCUAAGCCAUCAUGUUUUACCACUCUAUAACAUCUAAUAACAAAAUCAUAAAUCUACUUAUACAUAAAUCCAUGAUUUUUACUCACGAAUAUUUGAAAUAAUUUAAACAUGGUAACAACUAGUGUUUUUGAUCUUUUCUACUCUAUACUUGUUUUGAGUUGAACAUGAUAACAACUAAGGAUAUCAUACAUUUACUCUAAACAUAAAUUGAAUUGAGCAUGGUAACUACUAUGAUUAUGCAUAUUUCUACUCUAUACAUGAAUCGAAAAUAAUAACUAAGAUUCUACCUCUUAGCGUGCAAGCUUUACGUUUCUUA